rnacentral:rRNA from 1 species
UACGAAGGGGCUAGCGUUGUUCGGAUUUACUGGGCGUAAAGCGCACGUAGGCGGACUAUUAAGUCAGGGUGAAAUCCCGGGGCUCAACCCCGGAACUGCCUUUGAAUACUGGUAGUCUUGAGUUCGAGAGAGGUGAGUGGAAUUCCGAGUGUAGAGGUGAAAAUUCGUAGAUAUUCGCAAGAACACCAGUGGCGAAGGCGGCUCACUGGCCCGGUACUGACGCUGAGGUGCG